UCCAGACUCCUACGGGAGGCAGCAGUGGGGAAUAUUGCACAAUGGGGGAAACCCUGAUGCAGCGACGCCGCGUGAGUGAAGAAGUAUUUCGGUAUGUAAAGCUCUUUCAGCAGGAAAGAAAAUGACGGUACCUGACUAAGAAGCCCCGGCUAACUACGUGCCAGCAGCCGCGGUAAUACGUAUGGAGCAAGCGUUAUCCGGAUUUACUGGGUGUAAAGGGAGCGCAGGCGGCCUUGCAAGUCUGAUGUGAAAGGCCGGGGCCCAACCGCGGGACUGCAUUGGAAACUGCGAGGCUGGAGUGUCGGAGAGGCAGGCGGAAUUCCUAGUGUAGCGGUGAAAUGCGUAGAGAUCAGGAGGAACACCGGUGGCGAAGGCGGCCCGCUGGACUGCGACUGACGUUGAGGCCCGAAAGCGUGGGGAGCAAACAGGAUUAGAUACCCCUGUAC
rnacentral:rRNA from 1 species